rnacentral:misc_RNA from 1 species
UCCUCUUUACAGAGGCAGUUUGUUUCGAGUUCCCGGCAUUACCCGCUGGCAACAAAACAUGAGGGUUGCGCUCGUUGCGGGACUUAACCCAACAUUUCACAACACGAGCUGACGACAGCCAUGCACCACCUGUGUAUCACCUUCGAAAGCGACUGCUUUUCGGCAGCUUGCAGAUACAUGUCAAGCCCUGGUAAGGUGGGGAUGACGUAUCUUACAGCGUAC